rnacentral:rRNA from 1 species
UAGGGAAUAUUGCUUAAUGGGCGAAAGCCUGAAGCAGCAACGCCGCGUGAACGAAGAAGGCCUUCGGGUCGUAAAGUUCUUUUACGUGGGAUGAGGAAGGACAGUACCACGAGAAUAAUUCUCGGCUAACUACGUGCCAGCAGCCGCGGUAAAACGUAGGAGACGAGCGUUAUCCGGAUUUACUGGGCGUAAAGCGCGUGUAGGAGGCGCUACAAGUGGGAUGUGAAAGCUCCCGGCUUAACUGGGAGGGGUCGUUCAAGACUGUAGUGCUAGAGUGAGGCAGAGGUAGAUGGAACUACGGGAGUAGUGGUGAAAUGCGUAGAUAUCCGGAAGAACACCAGAGGCGAAAGCGACCUACUGGGCCUAAACUGACACUGAGACGCGAAAGC